rnacentral:rRNA from 1 species
ACUCAAAUGAAUAGACGGGGACCCGCACAAGCGGUGGAUUAUGUGGAUUAAUUCGAUGCAACGCGAAAAACCUUACCUACCCUUGACAUGUACGGAACCUCGCAGAGAUGUGAGGGUGCCCGAAAGGGAACCGUAACACAGGUGCUGCAUGGCUGUCGUCAGCUCGUGUCGUGAGAUGUUGGGUUAAGUCCCGCAACGAGCGCAACCCUUGCCAUUAGUUGCUACAUUCAGUUGGGCACUCUAAUGGGACUGCCGGUGACAAACCGGAGGAAGGUGGGGAUGACGUCAAGUCCUCAUGGCCCUUAUGGGUAGGGCUUCACACGUAAUACAAUGGUAGGUACAGAGGGCAGCCAACCCGCGAGGGGGAGCUAAUCCCAGAAAGCCUAUCGUAGUCCGGAUUGUAGUCUGCAACUCGACUACAUGAAGCCGGAAUCGCUAGUAAUCGCGGAUCAGCAUGUCGCGGUGAAUACGUUCCCGGGUCUUGUACACACCGCCCGU